rnacentral:rRNA from 1 species
UACGUAGGGUGCGAGCGUUGUCCGGAAUUACUGGGCGUAAAGGGUUCGUAGGUGGUGCGGCAAGUUGGGAGUGAAAUCUCUGGGCUUAACUCAGAGGCUGCUUUCAAAACUGCCGCGCUCGAGUGCGAGAGAGGUCAGUGGAAUUGCAGGUGUAGCGGUGAAAUGCGUAGAUAUCUGCAGGAACACCCGUGGCGAAGGCGGCUGACUGGAUCGCAACUGACGCUGAGGCACGAAAGCGUGGGGAGCAAACAGG